rnacentral:rRNA from 1 species
AGGGAAUAUUGCGCAAUGGACGGAAGUCUGACGCAGCGACGCCGCGUGAGCGAUGAAGGUCUUCGGAUCGUAAAGCUCUGUCCUUGGGGAAGAAGGCGAAAGCUUGACGGUACCCAAGAAGAAAGCCCCGGCUAACUACGUGCCAGCAGCCGCGGUAAUACGUAGGGGGCGAGCGUUGUCCGGAAUUACUGGGCGUAAAGGGUGCGUAGGCGGCCCUUUAAGUCGGAUGUGAAAGCCCGCGGCUUAACCGCGGAAUGGCAUUCGAAACUGGAGGGCGUGAGUGUCGGAGAGGGUAGUGGAAUUCCCAGUGUAGCGGUGAAAUGCGUAGAUAUUGGGAGGAACACCAGUGGCGAAGGCGACUACCUGGACGAUAACUGACGCUGAGGCACGAAAGCUAGGGGAGCAAAC